rnacentral:lncRNA from 1 species
UCCGGCUGACUUGGUUUAGAGGACCUGUGGGAUGUGCUGAGAAGGAGGACUGGGGAGAGCCCUGAGGAUGGAUCGCAGAGAACCAGGACGAGCAUCAGGAGUCGGCAUGAUUAUGAAGUUACUGUCUCUGAGCUCCCAGCCUGCCUUCCUGUGCUCUGCUUUGUGCCGGUAAGCUGGGAAACGGCAUUUCUGCUUUGCCGGUUCGGUUCUCUUUUGGACCCCGGCAGUGCGGUUUGCUAGAUUGCAGAAGUGGGGCGAUGAACGUGUUCUGCUUUGCCCAGGACUCCCCCCGUUUUAGCACCGAAAGUUCCGCCUCCUGAGAAC